UUUUGAAGAAGGAAGGGUCAGUGCUCUGAGGAGCUGCCCACAAGAAACACCAAGAAGAUCUGAAGCUUUUGUGAUAAGGAGACAACAGUAUGGAGCCCCUGUGAUGAGAUGGCAACACAUCAGAAGGACAUCAGACAACAGAGCACUCUGCCUAGUGAGAUAAUUACGAUUCCAACAGGAGAUGUUUUCAAGGCAAGAUGAGAUAGGCUCUCCUGAAGUCCAGUGUUGGCAGUGUGGUGGCACUGGGGGAAGGUGAGGGUCUGAGGGCUCCAGCCUGGUGUCUGGCAAUCUGUUUCCCUUCCCAGCCCUUCUCCAUUGCCUUCAGCCUCUCCUGUUCCCGGGGGCACAUGGGUAGGAGGCUGGCAGGGUGCCCAGUGCAUGUCACAGGAAGGAACUGGGGCCAAGACAACCACCUAAUAAACCCAAAAUCAACCCUGGUGUGGAUAUGGGACAGAUGGAUGCACCAAAUAAGGACAGACAGGGUCUGAUUUCUGAGGGUUUGAGCUUAUCUGAGCCUGUUUGCUCACUUAUCAAGUGGGAGUGGAUCUGGUGCCUGUGCUGAUGCCAGACCUGGCUGGCUUUUUUUCAGCUUUUAUUACAGAAAAAAGGGAACUUCUGCUCUGUUUAAAGAGCAGGGGUGGGAAGAAAACCCCAGUGACAGCAUACGCCUUAUGAGAGCACUAGCACAUUCAUUGUGAAAGUGAUGGGCAGUUAAUGAUGUCAGCGUAGGAAAAAACCCAAAUCAUGUUUGUUUUCUUCUUUCUCUCAAAAGCUCUGGCCUGAGAAGGGGCUGCAGAAACAAUCACUGCCUGGGAAAUCAGGGCAGUAUUAAAAAAAAAAAAAAAAAAGAGAUGGGGGAGAAAGUAGGAUAUAUAAGUAGUGCCAGCUGGAUGUGAAAUCAGUCUCGCAUUUCAAAAUAAUGAAAAUAUUUCUUUGCCAUUUAUUUGGUCUGGCAUGUAACAUCAGUGCUGUUGCCACAUCGUUAUUCAGAGUUAGCAUGCUGGAAAGGAGACACCAGCAGAGACCCAAUUGCUGCUCAGCCCCCCCAGAACAGGACACUAUUGUGGGACAGUGCUGCAGAUAAAACACCACAGGGAAGGAUGCUCCAAGCAGGAACACUCCCCAGAUCCAGGGUGGCAGGUGGAAAUGGGUCCUCAGACAAGCAAAAAAGAAAAGCCUUUGCAAUUUACAGGAGUGGCCCCUGAGAAAAGGGAGGGGUAGCUGCUGCUGAGAUAGAAGGAUGGCAAUGGCACAAGCUUUUCUAUGCAAAACCUUGCAUUAUUUGAGUCGGGCCUAGCUCAUUCAGUAGGCAUUUUAGGUCUGAACUUCCUGUAUAGAGAAGAUGAGAAGAAUCUCCCCAGGAAGUACAGCACAGCCUUGUGUCAGGCUCUGUUGGCUGUUCUGACUGUCCCAAUUUGCAAGAAGAGGAUUUGACUUCAGUCUUCUCUAGCUGGCCCUUGUUCCGAGCCUCCAACUCUCUUGGAGUUAUGCUGCCACUGUAAAUGCUGUCAAAAUGACAAGGAAAAACAACUUUCACUUCCCUGUGCUAUGGAUACACACACCUGCUCCCCUUUUCUUCAGGCAAGUCUGGGAGCUGUGGGAAUGAAAAGCCAUCCCAGUGAAGGAUGCACUUUGUUGAGCAAGCAAACCUGGAAGUGUCGAGCAGGGAAAUACGUUCCACACUUUGCUUUAAUGGCUGCUCUGUGGCUGAGACGAGCCAGAGAUGCUGGAGAACCAGAAAAGCCAGAAAUCUGGGAGAGCACAGGGUGCAGGCUGUCCCUGUGCUAGGACAGGUGCCACAGAGCUGUGCAGAAGGAGGUGGCACCUCCCCAUCUGGGGAGAGGCCGUGUGCUCAGCCACUCAGACCCUCCUCCACCCCGGGCUGGGGCUGACAUUGUCACUGCUUUUGUAAAACAAGACAUGCCAAAAGCUCUGUGUCACACGUUCCCAACUGAAUGGACUUUGCAAGGGAAGACUUCAGACCUACCUGGACAAGCAACAGAGAGACACUGGUGAAGAAGAAGGACCAAAAACAAAUUGGGAAAAGCAAAGGCAUCUCCAUGGGUUGAUUUUAAAAAGAAAUUGCUGUAAAUCAAGCUGAGUUAGACCCUGCAAACACAGCAAGAAGCUAAGUUCUUUCUGUGGUAUAAACAGAAAGCAGACAAGAGGGGAACUUCAAGCUGGAGGGAACCUGUCAAUGGCAUUCCUUACACACUGGUCCUGGAUUUGCUUUUCUGCAAUACCUACAGGACUGCCUUUGGCACAAACAAGUGGGAGGUCCCUGGUGAGCCCUUCUUUAUUGCAGUGUCAUGACAGAGCAGGAAGAAGAAGUUCUUCGGUGAAGAACUGUCUGAGUUUGCAGAGCAGCAGAAAAUGCAAAAUUGGGAAAUGGGAAUUUCGGUGGGAGUCAGAAUGCUGCGGUGCCCUCACUCACAGCCUUUGAAGGGCAGAACUGCCUCUGGGUUCCAGCAGACUAUUCUUCAGUCAUCUUCCAUUCAUCUUUUGGAACGAGAGCUAACUCACUCCCGGCCUGCUCCAUAAUGGAGAAACUAGCCUCUCUACGAGGUAAAGACAUUUCCUUUCUUCGCUUGAAACAUCAUGAACUUUCAGACUUGGCAAGGCUCUUUUGCGUUCGAUCUAAUAAUAAACCCAAACCAUCCAUUGCACGAAAGUAAUGAGUCUGAACUUGCCUGAACUUGCCUCAGGGAGCUGAGAUCCAAAGCUCUGUCAUUCCCUCAAAAGCCUUUCUCCUUUUUGCAAGGACAGGAUGUUGUUGUGACAAGGCAUCCUUGCUGUUUGCUCGGCCUCUCUCCCUCGUGAUGAAAUCCUUCUAUAGCGACUCUGGAGGUCCUACUUCAGCUCUGAUUUUUGGGCAUACAAAGUGCUGCACAACUAAUCUCCGCUCUUUUCUAUGAGUGAUUUAUGGAGGCUUGAAGGACAUUGAGACUCAGCACAUUCUCUGCUUUCCAAAUGUUGGUGCAAUGAGAGGGGCACUUUCCCUGCCAGUGGGAACCUGAAAGACCUGAUGGACUUUUCUGGCAGGACUCAGUGUCAGUGAAAGGGGCGCCAAGGCGCCUGCAGAGCAAGCGGAAGUACAAGUGUGUGUUAGCUUUAACUUCCACUGGGAAUGACAGAAAAAAUAUUUUGACUUGAUUUUACAGUUUGGUUUCUUGUUAGCGCAAAUGAAUGCUCAGCCAGUGAUCAGAAAUGCCCUUGCUUAAUUAGCAACGGUUCCUGUACAGUUAUUAGGCACCAUUGACAUGAGAAGAACAAACAAACAACAUCCACAUUGAAGAGGUCCCUGCAGCAUUGCUAAUCCCCCUUGGUAUUACCAAGGAAAUAUCAGACCAUAACUAUUCCAUGGAGAUCCAAGUGAAAUCGUCAUGCAAGAAGAACGUGAGAACUGCUGAGCAGACUGUACUUCCUGUUAUCUGAGAACAACUGUGCAUCCACAAGGAGCUGAAAAUUGUGAUGCUUCUAUGAUCCUGUCACGUCCUUCAGCAGAUGCAUUUUGCACAGACCCUUGUACGAAGAUAGAGAUUAAAGAACAAGCGAAACAUUUUCUCCCCUGCAUGUAGAAAGAACUAUAUGCUGCCUAAAAUGAAGGGAGACUGAAAAAACCGUGCUUGAACUAGGAGGUCAUCUUAAAACAGAUGAAAGAAAGUUUGUUUCAUUCUAACACAAUGAGCUAUGGACUUCUGGGAUUUAUUAACUCAGAGGAUGGUGGGUACUGGUACUACCAGCUGGUUCAAGAAGCUGUUGGGUAAAUUCAUGGACAACAGGUCCAUAAAGGGAAGAAGCAGGGUCAUACUCACUCAACUCCCUGUGCAGCAUGUCCUGCCACCAUCAGCAGAGGCAGGAUGUGGGGCAAGGUGGGCCAUCGACCUCGCCCCAGCAGCACGAGUUUGACACCCAUGUCCCUCUCCUCCCCAUCCGUCUGCCCUGCCUGUGACUCCGGAGCCAAAACCACUGUCACGAGGGUAAAAGGCUCUUUGCUGGGCUUGCAAUAUUCUACAAAACUGGAGCUAGCUUGUGGGGAAAUAAGUGAUUUGGGUCCCUGGCAUAAGGGAAACUUGAUUUUUAUCCAGGUUAGGUCUCUACCAUCCUUACCUAACAAUAGUUCAAGAGGAGGGUUGGUGAUAGCAAACAGCCUAGGAACACCUAGUUAUUCCCCAAAACCUGCUGAGGUUUGCAUCUGGAUUCCUUCUUUCCUGUGUUCCAGGAGAGCAGAGGAGGGACAGACUAUUGGAGACACAUAUUGCCUAUUUUGCUUUCACUACAUUUGGUGAGGGUUGCAAAUGUGAUGUAUUUUCCUCAGCAUCAAAUAAUUCUCAGUAGUGUCAAAAAUAGCAAUGUUUCAGCUCUCUGAGGGAUUUUGGACAAGAGUGAAAGACCCUUGAAAUUGAUAUCAAUAAUUCUGCUGCUCAAGCUGGAGGCAAAAGCCCAACAGCUGUGGGGGGUGUGUGUGGUUUUUUAUACCCCGUCUAGCCUCAAGGAGGCAAGACCAUCAUAAUUAGCUGCUAAUUGAGAAGUGCACAUCUGAAAAGCACAAUUUCAGAGAACAAAGAGCCGGAGAGACCCAUUUCCAGGGCUAAUUAGAAUUAAUUCAUUGCUAUAAGUAGAAGGUCUCCCACAGUCCUGGGACUCUCUCUUGCCCUCUCCUGAAGCACCAGUCUAAACAUACGCAUACCAAUCAUGGAAGGCUCAGCAUGACUUGUGCAGCUCUUGUGCAACACAGAAAUAGCACUGCUUGUUAAAAAAUAGUCUAUUUUUCUUUUUUUUUCCCUUUUUUUUUUAUAGCCCUGGGCUAUGUCUCCCCUCUGCUUUGCUACCUGCCCUUCCUUCCUUUUCUGAAUCUACUACCAACAAACAAAGUGACAGUGUCAGCACUUUUUCCACUACUGCAAGAAUGGGGCUUUUAGGGGAAAAAGGUCCACAAAACCAGGCCUCUCUCUGUGGCACCCUCCUGCAGAUGCCUCCAGCAGGACUAUCUUCAUGCACCUCCCUGAGCUGCUGGAGUCCAUUUGUUUUUUCCCCCCCAAGCCCACAGCAGCUGGUUUUGCACUUGAUCUGGGGCUCCAGCAAUAACCCUUCAGGUGUGAGGGCAUGGGCUGCUUCAAGUGGUCUCUUAAAAUACUUCAAGAGCUGAUUUUUCUCUCUAAGUCCUGAAAUGUCUUUAAAAAAAACACCUGCACAGUAAAUAUCUCAGUUGCCCAUCAACCUACAGUAUUUCUAUCUCACUUGAGAUCAUGAUAUCUCUCUUACAUGUAUUUAGUGCCAGCAUCUCAUUGCUGAGUGACUCAGUAGUCACUGCAAGGACACUACAGUGAGAAAAUGAACAAGACCAUUCCCUUGUGAUAGCCAGUUUUGUCAUCCAAUAGAAGGUCCUUUUAAAAUAACUUUGAUUUUUUUUUUUGAAGAUGUUGAACACCUAUCUUUGGAAGACAGAAAUUACUUCAAAUUGCUUCAAGUUAUGGACCC